rnacentral:rRNA from 1 species
AGCUCAGUAACACGUGGUCAAACUACCCAACAGAGAACGAUAACCUCGGGAAACUGAGGCUAAUAGUUCAUAAGAGAGUCAUGCUGGAAUGCCGAUUCUCUCAAACGCUCAGGCGCUGUUGGAUGUGGCUGCGGCCGAUUAGGUAGACGGUGGGGUAACGGCCCACCGUGCCGAUAAUCGGUACGGGUUGUGAGAGCAAGAGCCCGGAGACGGAAUCUGAGACAAGAUUCCGGGCCCUACGGGGCGCAGCAGGCGCGAAACCUUUACACUGCACGCAAGUGCGAUAAGGGGACCCCAAGUGCGAGGGCAUAUCGUCCUCGCUUUUCACGACCGUAAGGUGGUCGUAGAAUAAGGGCUGGGCAAGACCGGUGCCAGCCGCCGCGGUAAUACCGGCAGCCCAAGUGAUGACCGAUUUUAUUGGGCCUAAAGCGUCCGUAGCCGGCCACGAAGGUCCAUCGGGAAAUCCGCCAGCUCAACUGGCGGGCGUCCGGUGGAAACCACGUGGCUUGGGAUCGGAAGGCUCGAGGGGUACGUCCGGGGUAGGAGUGAAAUCCUGUAAUCCUGGACGGACCACCGAUGGCGAAAGCACCUCGAGAAGACGAAUCCGACGGUGAGGGACGAAAGCUAGGGUCUCGAACCGGAUUAGAUACCCGGGUAGUCCUAGCCGUAAACGAUGCUCGCUAGGUGUGGCACAGGCUACGCGCCUGUGCUGUGCCGUAGGGAAGCCGAGAAGCGAGCCGCCUGGGAAGUACGUCCGCAAGGAUGAAACUUAAAGGAAUUGGCGGGGGAGCACUACAACCGGAGGAGCCUGCGGUUUAAUUGGACUCAACGCCGGACAUCUCACCAGCUCCGACUAUAGUGAUGACGUUCAGGUUGAUGACCUU